rnacentral:rRNA from 1 species
GAUGAACGCUGGCGGCGUGCCUAAUACAUGCAAGUCGAGCGAACAGACGAGGAGCUUGCUCCUCUGACGUUAGCGGCGGACGGGUGAGUAACACGUGGAUAACCUACCUAUAAGACUGGGAUAACUUCGGGAAACCGGAGCUAAUACCGGAUAAUAUAUUGAACCGCAUGGUUCAAUAGUGAAAGACGGUUUUGCUGUCACUUAUAGAUGGAUCCGCGCCGCAUUAGCUAGUUGGUAAGGUAACGGCUUACCAAGGCAACGAUGCGUAGCCGACCUGAGAGGGUGAUCGGCCACACUGGAGCUGAGACACGGUCCAGACUCCUACGGGAGGCAGCAGUAGGGAAUCUUCCGCAGUGGGCGAAAGCCUGACGGAGCAACGCCGCGUGAGUGAUGAAGGUCUUCGGAUCGUAAAACUCUGUUAUUAGGGAAGAACAAAUGUGUAAGUAACUAUGCACGUCUUGACGGUACCUAAUCAGAAAGCCACGGCUAACUACGU